rnacentral:rRNA from 1 species
UUCCGGUUGAUCCCGCCGGACCCCACUGCUAUCGAGAUGGGACUAAGGUGUGCUAGUCGAACGACCAGAACUAUGUCUGGAAGUGGCACACUGCUCAGUAACACGUAGCUAACCUACCCUUAGGACGUGGAUACCCCCGAGAAAUUGGGGUUAAUCCGCGAUAGGUGUAAUGUCCUGGAAUGGUAUUACGCCUAAAGGUGUAUCAUACAUGUUUGAUAUACGCCUAAGGAUGGGGCUGCGGCCGAUCAGGCUGUUGGUGAGGUAAUGGCUCACCAAACCUUUGACCGGUACGGGCCAUGAGAGUGGUAGCCCGGAGAUGGACACUGAGACAAGGGUCCAGGCCCUAAGGGGCGCAGCAACCGCGAAACCUCCACAAUGCACUCACGUGCGAUGGGGCUAUCUCGAGUGCCACCUGAUGAAGGUGGCUUUUCCUAGGUCUUCAAAGCCUUGGGAAUAAGAGGGGGGCAAGACUGGUGUCAGCCGCCGCGGUAACACCAGCCCCUCGAGUGGUGGGGAUGAUUAUUUGGCCUAAAGCGUCCGUAGCCGGCCGAGCAAGUCUUCCGUUAAAUCCAGCGUCUCAAGCGUUGGACUGCGGGAGAUACUACACGGCUAGAGAGUGGGAGAGGUCAGCGGUAUUCUGGGGGUAGGGGCGAAAUCCUUUGAUCCCCGGAGGACCACCAGUGGCGAAGGCUGCUGACUAGAACACGUCUGACGGUCAGGGACGAAAGCUGGGGUAGCGA